rnacentral:rRNA from 1 species
GCAACAUGGCUGUCUGUAUCAAUCUAGGCUUCGGCCUGGAUGCACUUGCAGGCUAUGCCUGCAACGACAAUUGACUUGAGGGAAAAAACUAAGGGAAAUGUGGCCCACUUGUGGGUGUUAUAGUCCCUUAGAAAAUACCUUGGGUUGGAUUGAGGAACGCAGCGAAUGCUUUUUGGCGAUUUUCCAGGAAGGUUUUCUGAGGUACUACGGAUCAAGGUUGAUCUUUUUGGUUAUACUUCUAUUCGCUUAGGUGUUGGSUUAAUGACUCUAAAUGACCCGCUUGAAA